rnacentral:rRNA from 1 species
GACGAACCGUGCGAACGUUAUUCGGAAUCACUGGGCUUAAAGCGCGUGUAGGCGGGUCGGUGCGUCGGCCGCUGAAAUCCCCCGGCUCAACCGGGGAAGGGGCGCCGAUACGCCCGGCCUGGAGCGACGUAGGGGGAACUGGAACUUCCGGUGGAGCGGUGAAAUGCGUAGAGAUCGGGAGGAACAUCAGUGGCGAAGGCGGCCAUCUGGGCCGUCCCUGACGCUGAGGCGCGAAGGCGUGGGGAGCGAACGGG